CCUCCCGGCCCGCUCUGAAGCCACAACGGCCGCCAUGUUGACUAUGGGAACGGAACGGCCUUUCCAGCCAGACCAAAUGACUGGAGGCUAGCGAGGCAGUUCUGGGGCGUGAAGCCUGAGAGAGGCCAUGUCUAGUGUGGGCUCGUCUACUAGCACUAAGCAGCGGAACAGCGGACCCCCAGCUGUGGCCCUCUGGCUUUGCUGAUCGGAUGGCAAGAUAUCCGAAGAAGGUGCAGAAAUCAAGCUAUUAUCCCUUUUCCAGACGGUGACAGAGCUGCUGGACAUAUCCGUUUCCUUUUGUGGUCAAGUGAGCUCCGUCUGUCUCUGAGGGACAUUGCAGAUCCUAUGGCCUGCACACUUCCCGAGGGCUGUCACAGAGCCUGGCACAUUCCUGUGGGUUUUUCUUCCAGGCUGCACCUUGGGAUCCCAGGGAAACGACGUUAUUAGAAUUACCUUCCUUUUCAGAUCAGCCUUAAAAACACCUCUGAGCUCUCCCCUUAUUCAUUCAUUCGUUCAACAGUUACAGAGCACCUGUUAUGUGCCAGGCACUGUGUUAGACCCUGGGAAUACUACAAAGAAUGAAACCAACACGGUUUCUGCCUGUCAUCUUACACUUUUAGUGGAUGCUUAGAAUUUAUUUGUUCCUUAUAUUAUGACAAGCAUGGAAUAUCUUUAAUCUUCAAUUCAAUGCCUUCAAAAUUACCCUCACUCAAAGCCAAGUUUGAUUCAAAUCCCUAAACUUGACCUCUACACCAAAGGGCGCAGACACACAACUGUCAUGGUGACCAGACAGGUCAUAACAAUCAAUGAAGAAUCCUGGUGAAGCAUCAUCUGCUGACCUAUUAAUAUUUCAAGUGACUUGGCUCUCAGUGUUGGGAAAAAUAUAGGGAAUGAUAGAGACAGUAGCAAACUUCAAAUUAACAUUCUUCUAAAGAGUGGCUGCCACUCAGCUCUAGCCACUUGUUCCCAUGUGAGAAUGGGGGAUGCCAAAUCAUCUGAUUUUUAAAAGAAGGUGAAAAUCCUAUUUUUAAAUGUCACUUCACUUAGAAAAGUUGGGGGGGCAUUAUGUAUUUGGACUGCCUUCAACCCCAAAAGGGCUACAGUAGUUUGUGGCCUCUUCUUUAUAUGUUCUUUUUGCCAACAGAGCAAAAAGAACAGUUCUUUUUACUACAGAAAGGAGAGAUCAGGGAAGAGAGAUCCCUUCCCUUUUUAAAAAAACAUGAAGGCCACCUUACUCCUACUUCAGUAAAUAGCUUUGUCUCUGGGUUUCCAUCCCCUAGAAAGUAGGGUACUAUGGUGAUACCCCUAGGGUGCUCUGCAUGGCCUGAAAUCACUUCCACUCCCACAGUCUACUCAAAAUACCCAUUCCUCGCUGCACCUUGAGCUUAUCUGGACAUCAAGAGGAAAGGGGUCUGAUCUUUCAUGCUAAAAGAUGAACACAAUGGCACUCAACCUUUGCACACAUUUGCUGCUCCAAGCCUUUGUCCAUUCCAAUCCCUCUUUCCUUGAACGUCUUCACAUAGCUAACCUCUUCUCAUCCUUAAAGUCUCACCUUAGGCAUCCAUUCCCUCCAGAAGGUAUCCCUUCCACUGGCUCUCUUGGUACCUUUCAGCCAUGACACUGACUUGACCACACUGGAAUUCAGUUUCCAGUCUGUCACCUUCACUUCAACCUAGAAGACGCCCGUGCCCUCAGUGAGUACUCAGUAAGGUAAGUAUCAUAUUGCAGAUGGACUGUUUGGUAACAGUAUAUCUAAAAAUAUAUAUCUGAGGGCCGGGGAUUUAGCUCAGUGGUUUCGACACCUGCUGUGCAAGCGCAAGGACCCAAGUUCGAUCCCCGAUACCAAAAAAAAUAUAUAUAUAUACAGUAAAAAUAUAUAUCUGAACUCUUAGGUGGGACUCCUGAGAACUCCAUUAAUAGUCUGGCCCUUCCUAUGAUUCUAGGCCUACGGGUUUCCAAGGGGCCCUGGAGCCAUUCAGCUUGGCCAAAAAGGUUUGAAGAGUCUUGAGUUGGAGAGCUUAGAAGAUGGUCAUUCUUUUAAGGCUAACUCCAAACAAAUUUCUCUAGUAAACCUUCAGUCUAGGGAUAUAGCUCAGAGGUAGAUUACUUCCCUAGUGUGUGCAAGGCCUUGGGUUUGAUCCCCAGCACUGCAAAACAACACCAGAAAGUGGUCAUUCUUCCACUGGCUCUCUGUUACACUGAGAGAAAGGAAGGUACAGGGGGAAAAAUGGAAGUAACUGCAGUGAGUAUCAACAUGGCCUGUGUGUUUCCUCCAUCCCUGCAGCUAUAUUCUUAGGCCGAAGCCUAAGUAUAUCCAGUGGUUUCAGUCUAAGGAUGUACUUGACAUUUCAUACCUGACACCUAUUGUCAGGCUGACUUCCUGAAAGGCUUUAUUCAGCCUGCAAUGAAUAGGGAACACUCAUUUCCUGUCCUGAGAUACUGUUGAGUUUUACAGCCUUUUCCUUUUUGGAAAAUUUUACUGAACAAUAACCCAGAUGUCAUUGCCAUGCUUGGGAUCUCAUAAAGACUGAGAAUGAAUAAGUUAACAUUAUUUAACGCUUAAGAGAUCUGGAGAAAAUUACCUAUUUCCUUGAGAAUUGGUAAAAGGAGUAAUGCCUAUUUCUUCUCAUUUUUUGAGGAUAUUAGUGUAUUCAGCAAUGCAUUCAACUAUCUCAUUCUUUGCUGGUAAGUAGCAAACAGGCAUUAAUAUACUUUAUUAAACAUGAAAAGAAGUUUGAUAAGCUCACAUGGCAUAUUAAUGUGCUGAUGUACAAAUAAGAUUGAACAGCACAUGCCUGUCUUUCAGUUGACUAACUUCCUAUAUGAAAAGUAUAUGGAAUUAGGGAGGACAACUGAAGCUCCCAUGAUGAAAACUGGGCAGGGAUUGGGGAGAAGAUGCUCCCCUUCCCACCUCUCUUAGCUAGAACCAAGAAAGGUGGAACUAAGAAAGGGCAACUGCUCUACAUACAUACCACCCUGAACAUGCCUGAUCUUGCCUAAUCUCAGAAACUAGCCAGGAUUGAACCUGAUUACUGUUUGGACGGAAGAAAGGCCAAGCAGAUGCUCCUACCUGGAUUUUGGCUCUGGAAGUGUUGACACAAGUUCAGUUGGAGGUAAUGCAGCAAGUGAGUGAAUCUGGUAACUACAUUUUCAACAGUGAGGCCUCCAGUAGUGUACAGUGCCAGGAAGGUGGCUGCUUUAGUGGCAGGUUCUUACCAGUGUCUGCCUCACUGGGUUUCUGCCCAAGCCUGUUUCUCCAGAUCUGUUUUUUUCUGUGAGUGAACCUGAUAGGCUUCCUAUAAAUUCCUUUGUUGCUGCAACUAAACAGUGCUGUUUCUGUGGUUUGCAAUCAAGAAAAUAACUAGCAGUACAUUUUUAUUAGCAAGUUGGAUUUUUUACUAGCGUGAGUUACCUGUGUAUAUCAUCUGCCUAUUUUUCUUUCUGAUGUAUUCAUUUUAUAAAUGUUGGAUGAUAAAUAGUACUUUGUAUAUGAAUUAUGUUAUUCUUUAAUCCAUACCAGUUCAUUUGGUUGUUUACCUUUCUUUAUGAUUUAGGUCUAGAUGUCCGCCCAAAGCCUCAUGUGGUCAUAGGCAGCUGAAUCAAGACUGUGUGAUGCUGGGAUUGAGGGUGGGUGAUUACUAAAUCAGUCCACUGAUUGGUUUGGCACCACCCUAAUCCCAGUACCUGGAUACAAUAUGAGGGACAGAAAGAGGCUUGACUUCUCCCUUGUUGCUUCUGCUACUGUGUGAGCACCAUGAACUGCCAUCCUCUGCCAUACCACCCUGCCUUGGAGCCAGGACUGAAACCUCUACAAACUGGGACCUAAAUAAACCUUUCCCUCUGUAAUUUGGGGGGUAUUUUGUCUCAGCAACAAGAGAAAAGUAAGUAAGACACCUUUCAACCAUGUUCAUGAUUUUUCAGAUCACACAGAGAAUUUUGCUUAUUUUAUAUAGUCAAACAAUGAGUCUUUUUCAUAUUUUUUGACAUGCUUAGACAAACAACCUUUCUCCAUUCCCAGAUCAUAAUACUACUAAUCCGUGUUUUUGUUUAAUUCUGUUAUUGGGUUUUCUUCUCCUUACUUUUAAUGUUUUCUCCCUUAGGACUUUAUUUUUGCAUGAGAAAUGAGGUAGGGGUCUACCAUGGUUUGGAUAUCAUUCGUCCCCACCAAAACUUGUGUUGAAGUUUGGUUCCUGUGUGGCAGUGUCAGGAGAACCAUCAGGGAAGCUGGACACUUGCAGCUCUCAUCAAGGUUGGCACCACCACCAAACAGGCUGGCCACACUGAUUUGCUCCUGGUUUACUGUGUCCACUAUGAGGACUGUUGGAUCUUUUCUGCUUGUCUCUGAACUUUUGCUGUCACACCUUUAAACUCAAAGUAGAAGUGUCCACUGGAUAGGAAUAGGCCCUAGGCUGGUCAGUAACCUCAGAAGUAGGAGAGGAUGCAUCCUCUCCUUCCAGCUUCUAUAGGGGGAAGCAGAGCUGCCUCCUGUCUUCCUUGAGGUCUGCCUGAAAGGAAGAUUAUUCAGUGCUGGACAGCCAAAAAUGACAAACAUCCACUAUAACCCGCUCCUGUGUAGUGUCAUAUUGAUAGCAUUAAAUACAUUGCUUUACCUA